rnacentral:piRNA from 1 species
UAAUGGUGAGGUUUUUAAGUAGAUACUAAAA